UACGUAGGGUGCGAGCGUUGUCCGGAAUUAUUGGGCGUAAAGGGCUCGUAGGCGGUUUGUCGCGUCGGGAGUGAAAACCUUGGGCUUAACUCAGGGCUUGCUUUCGAUACGGGCAGACUAGAGGUAUGCAGGGGAGAACGGAAUUCCUGGUGUAGCGGUGAAAUGCGCAGAUAUCAGGAGGAACACCAGCGGCGAAGGCGCCGCUCUGGGCCGUAACUGACGCUGAGGAGCGAAAGCAUGGGUAGCAAACGGG
rnacentral:rRNA from 1 species